rnacentral:rRNA from 1 species
GUCUGGCCCUAAACGGUGCACGUUUGCUGUAAGCGGGGUCGAACCUGUUUGUGGCGAAGCUAACGCGUUAAACGUGCCGCCUGGGAAGUACGGCCGCAAGGGUUAAAACUCAAAGAAAUUGACGGGGGCCUGCACAAGCGGUGGAGUAUGUGGCUCAAUUCGAUGCAACGCGAAGACCUUACCUGGCCUUGACAUGCAUCUAGUAGAAGGGUGAAAGCCUGACGAGGUAGCAAUACCAGGAUGCACAGGUGCUGCAUGGCUGUCGU